AAUUGAUAUCUAAAUUUUUUUUUCAUCCACUAGUUUCGUACAUGUGACUAAUGACAUUAAUUUUUUAUUAAUGUGGUAACGCUGACCAAUUGUGCACUGUCACGUUUCAUCCUAUUUGGCAAUAGAAACUCUCCAAUGUUUUUCUCUUUCACUUUUUUUCUCUCUUCUUUCUUUUUUUUUUUUCUUCUCUGAAUCUCCUUUCUAUUUCAUCGCUUCAUGAUAAUCUUCUUUCUCUCUCAAAAUGGGUUUGUUAGGGUAUGUUAAUAAAUUUUUGGUAAUCUGUUGGAAAUUUUUAAUGGGUAUUGAUUCAUCUUCCAUCGCUGUUUGUUCCACCAUGCUUCGACGCGGAUAGAAGUCUGGUUCUCCUAUCGUCUUCGGCAUUGUCGAAUCGCGGCCAGCUUCCUAUUCACCUUCUGUCACUUCCUGUUCCACCUCAUUUCGACACCAAUAGAAGUUCAAUGUGACUGUAUUUGAAACCCCAGCAUCGAAGAUGAAGAUGAAGCUUUCGUGGUUUUGGGUGUUUGAGAUGAAGGGCAUUUGAAUCAUUGGAUUGGUGUGAAUCAUCGAUAAAACUGCUUCGGCAAAAACUUCAACAUCUUGUUUCUAGGUUUUGCUUGUUUAUCUAUGAAAAAAAUAAUACAAUCACUUUUUUCUUCCAACUUUCUUUCUGGUCUUUUGUUUCCUCAUCUCGGUUAUCGUUCAUUUCCAUUGCUUUUCCAGGAAAUGUUACUUCUCUACUUGUAAUUAAUUUACUAGUAAACAAACAGAGCUAAGAAAAUUGAUAGAUUUCUUUUCAUAGGUUUAUGUAUUAUUUUGAAUCAUCACCUUUGCAGUGUUGUCUUUUAUCAAAUGAGCUAAGAGAAUUCUUAA